CGAUGCAAACGCGAUUUCAUUUGUUGCCUUAUUCUGUUAUCUUCUCAGUCGUACUACAUUUGCACUGCUAACCAAUCUGUACUACAUCUUAGAUGUACAAGUACCAGUGAGUACUAAAUUCCAGUACUCCAACCUUUUGAUUAUAUUGCAUCAACACCUAUAAAUACAUCAUCUCUCUAUUACCAUUGCAGCAGAAAUCAGCUCAGCAACUUUACCACUUCAACUUCAAGAAUUGGAGACGAUCCAAUGCAGUAUUAUGGUUUGAGUUCAUCGUUCCCGUCGAUCGAAUGAACCUGCCUGAAUUUAUGGCAUCCACAAUCGGCACCAAAUUGAUCACCGGAGUGCUACUUUCAUCACCUUCAGCUUCCAAGUCCAACAAGUCCCUUGUCCUUGAACUCAUGUUACCACUUCCAUCUCAUAUAUUUUGUUAAGCACAUGCAAGCUAUGCACAAACAAAACCGGGGCCGCCAUUUUUUAUAUCUUGGCACCAAAGUCACCACCCGACUGUUACUGUAUUCAACUCAUCCUCCAACAAGUCCGUUAUCUCUAUGCGCAACCUCUUAAUCUUCGAUACAAUCAACAGAGAAAUCAUGUAAAAAUAAAAUAGCUUGCGUAUAGAGAUAAAGGACUUGCUGUGGGAUGAGUUGAAGAUGAUAGCUGGUGGUAGCUUUGGUGCCAAGGAAUACAAGAUGGUCACCUUAAUUUUUUUUUUUCUUGGUAUGCAGUAGUAAAUUUAGUGAUAGAAAUCAAUGUACUGAUGUGAGAAUAUGGUAGUGUUUGAUUGAGGAUGAAACUUGAGAAAUGAAAUAAACAUGCAAAUAUUUGAUUCUAUCUACUCA